rnacentral:lncRNA from 1 species
CACAUGGUGGAAGUGGGAGCCAGGGAUUAAAGCGGACAGGAUGCUAUUUUCAUGCUGCUUCUGAAAGGAAUGGCUUCUCUUCCAGCAGAGGAAGGAGCUGCGGCUGCACGGUGCCAUGCAACAGCGAGCUGCCUGCCAGCUUCCUGUCCAGACCAGGGGUCAGCAGCUCCCUGAAGGACGUGCCCGGCUGCUGAGCUGCAGUGGCCACAUGAGAGCAGCAGCAGCAGCACAGCCCUGCUCCACCAGCCUGGGUGCACAGGAGCUCCCUGACCUCAGGCCUAGCACACAGCAGGUUCCCAAAGUCAGCAUGCGUGACUCUGAAAGGUCCCACCCCGGCCAGAGUGAGGCAGCAAAGCUUCCAGAAGCCAAAGCAGCUGAAAUGAAAAAACGUUCUGUAUUCCACCACUUCAGCUUUGUACAGGUCAUCCGUGAAAUAUGCAAGUUAUGGAGAAAAAAAAAAACACAAGCAUUCAGCCUAACAAACUGGCACUAUUAUCUCCAUCUUUCCAAAUAGCAUCAGAAUAUCUUAAAAUGAUGAAAAUCGUGCUCUUGUAAAUGUAAGAACAUAAAGCCAUCGAACCAAGAGUCUAACCCAAAAUUGCCCCCCAUCUCCCCACAUUCCUAAGGAGAUUUAUGAGGAUCAGCUCUAAAGAUCACCACAAGACCAAAACACUUAUCUCAUCAACUGGCCCCCAUUUCCUCAAGUCAUCCAGAAAUGCUAAGCUCAAGCAAUUUGUCAUCUCUACAGUCAUUUGAAAAAUAUGUACAGAGAACCAUUACAUUAAAACCAAGACUAAAAUGGCUGAAAACUUCCACUGCAAGCAUCUUCUGGUGGGG